rnacentral:sRNA from 1 species
GGUGUCAGGUGAGUGUGUCCAUUCUUUGAAUAGAUAUUUAUUGAGGAAAUUGCUCUAGGUUGGAGGAAUGGAGCAGAUAACCAGGUCCCUUGAAGUCUUGGGGUGAGAAAAUAGCAUUUUCAGUAACAUAAUAAUAUAAUAACAUAGCAUAAAAUAACAUAAUAAAUAAGUAACAUUAGUAAAGAGUCCACUUCUACUCUAGAAGUAGAGAGGACCUCUUACACGUGGGUACCAGGGACACACAGAAAGUCACUUAGAGUGGCUCCGCUUGCCACAACAAGGGUGAAGGAAGCAGCUUGACCUCUCUUUGCUAAGAACUAAUGAGGGACAGAGAAACUGUGGUUUAUCAGAUGAAAUACUGUGUAGCCAGUGGCAUGAACAAUGGACACCCAGCAGAGGUCUAGAUGUGUCACAUGCAGUAAACAUCAAAACACAGUGCGGGGGGUUGGGGAGGCUGGUUACAACAGGGCACAGUGUUGUGUCAUUUAGAUAAAACAAACACACAAACAAACACCCUGGUGUAUAGAAUAGUCAUCUGUACUGUCUGUGAAUGUAUGUGUCUUUGGCAAAAAGAACAGGGAGUAGUGACUUUUUAUGGAAUACAGCAUAAGUGACGUUUGAAUGAUGGUUAUACAAAUUAUAUGAAGGUAUAAAACCGUCAAAGUAUACAUGCAAUUAACUUUUCAAAAUUAAAAAAGAAAACCCAGAAAUCUGAAAUAGAUAAAUCAAGUCCAUCUAUGGAGAUUACACAGUUAUCCACUGUAUUGUCUGGAGAGAUAAAAUGUUCCAUGAUUAAUAAUAUAGAUGUUUCACUUUGUAAAAGCAGGAAACAGACAAAAGGUGCCUGCUCUGGGCAUGGAGGGAAUCUCUGGUGCUCGCCCAGCCCAGCCCAGCCUGGGUCAGCUGAUGCAACUGUGGCCCUAAAAGGCACGUCAUCAGCUGGGAGCCAGGAGCAAGGAAAAGGCGCAGGGAGCCUCAGCUGGAGGAGGGGGAGGCAAAGCAGUUCCUUGGAAUCCGUGUUUCCUGCUCCCUCCACUGGUCUGCACCUGAUCAGACAUGGGGACUGCCGAGGUGCCUGUCACACUCGUCCGGAGCCUCAAUCAGCACUCCAGGUCUUCUCUAUCCCUUGGCCAUCAUGGUGGCCUAAGUGGACUCCCUUUUAGAGUGGCAUCUUCCUCUUCUCUUCAAAGCCCACUUCAAGAGUCCCCUUCUGGAGGCAGAGCAAACACUUUCCUCUGUGCCCUGAGAGCACUUUGAGUCAUCACCCCCUACGCUGCCUGCUGGUGUCACACUGGAGGCCCUGCGCUCUCUGACAGGUGGCCUGUUUCCUAGGCCACCCUGAAACCCUGCCUCCAGCUCACUGCAGGCUACAGAGCAAGUUUUAUAAGACAUUUGCUGAACAAGUCACUUUUUUUUAUUUUGCAUAAACUGCAAAUAUAAUUUUAAUUGGAUUACCAACUUAUUCAAACACUAUUCAACUCUAAUUAAACAAAGAGGCCUUUAUUCACCACGGAUCCCAGAGAUGUUGGCUACAGGCGGUGAGAAAACUGGAGGCUCUUCAGAGCUCCACGUACUACAGGAGAGGGCUAUAUUUGGGAGCCAAUUAAUUUCACAAUGUCGAAAACUAAUGCAUUUAAGAUUCUGCUGUUCGCAUCCAUUUUUCCCCAUUAAAACAUUUUAACUGCG